rnacentral:lncRNA from 1 species
AGUUCUUUCUGUCUCCAUGCAGAUCUUUAUUUCAAAUCCUUUCACAGAAGUCAGGCAGCUUCCAGAAACUACUAUCCAAAAUAGCACAACUCUCAAAGCAAAUGUUGUUCUAAUAAUGGAAAAGCCUCGGACAAGAGGCCAGGGUAAGAAUUAAGGUUGCUGAGGCGAUAGCUAGCUUUCAUAUAUGGGUUGUAAUGAUUUGAAUCAAAUCAUUUUACUUCUGAGUUUCAAUUUCCUCCUGCAUCAGAGAAUCAGGACCUCUUUUCUACAGCCAAGUGCUGAUGGAGUGCAGUUGAUGAAUGUCCCCUCCGCUCUGGACUUACACAUCUGCCUUUUCUAGCAGGGACUUGCUUUUAGCAAAAGUCCUCAGGGGCUCAGUGUGGCUCAGCACUUUUAAGUUUACACGAAGCUUGCACGCCUACUGCUACUGUAAGUGUCGUAAUCUGUCCAAUGAGACAAGAGCCUGACGAGAUUCUCUCACUGGUGUCUGAGGAGACUGAGGCUCAGUCAGGUUUGCCGACUCAGCGAGGCAGGGAAGGAGCAGAGCUAAGGGUUCACACCUGUCAUCUCUGCAUCAUCAUCCUGUUCACACUUCCUACUCUAUCUUCCAGGUACCUGGGGUGUCACACUGAAUUGCCUAAGGAUGGUAUGUUCAGAGGUAGACCUGACUCCCCAUGGGCAGGUGUACCUGGCUAAAUACUCAUUUGCUUAACUCCUACUCUCCCA